rnacentral:rRNA from 1 species
AACGCGAAGAACCUUACCUGGGCUCGAAAUGUACCGGAAUCCGGCAGAAACGUCGGCGUCUAGCAAUAGACCGGUAUAUAGGUGCUGCAUGGCUGUCGUCAGCUCGUGUCGUGAGAUGUUGGGUUAAGUCCCGCAACGAGCGCAACCCUUAUCUUCAGUUGCUACCAUUUAGUUGAGCACUCUGACGAAACCGCCUCGGAUAACGGGGAGGAAGGUGGGGAUGACGUCAAGUCCUCAUGGCCUUUAUGUCCAGGGCUACACACGUGCUACAAUGGCCGGUACAAACCGCUGCAAACCCGCGAGGGGGAGCUAAUCGGAAAAAGCCGGCCUCAGUUCGGAUUGGAGUCUGCAACUCGACUCCAUGAAGUUGGAAUUGCUAGUAAUGGCGUGUCAGCUACAACGCCGUGAAUACGUUCCCGGGCCUUGUACACACCGCAUAC